UACGUAGGGUGCAAGCGUUAAUCGGAAUUACUGGGCGUAAAGCGUCCGCAGGCGGUUAUGUAAGACAGAUGUGAAAUCCCAGGGCUCAACCUUGGAACUGCAUUUGUGACUGCAUAGCUAGAGUACGGCAGAGGGGGAUGGAACUCCGCGUGUAGCAGUGAAAUGCGUAGAUAUGCGGAAGAACACCGAUGGCGAAGGCAAUCCCCUGGGCCUGUACUGACGCUCAUGGACGAAAGCGUGGGGAGCAAACAGG
rnacentral:rRNA from 1 species